CGGCGAUGAGAUCAACCUGGCUCUGAUACCAGUGAUCGAAAUCAAAGAAGAAGAACAGAUUUUGAGGGGCUCCGGUAAUGGGUAAGGGUUUGAUUUUGUUUAUGUGUUGCAU
rnacentral:pre_miRNA from 1 species